UAAGUUGCAGGGUAUAGACCCGAAACCCGGUGAUCUAGCCAUGGGCAGGUUGAAGGUUGGGUAACACUAACUGGAGGACCGAACCGACUAAUGUUGAAAAAUUAGCGGAUGACCUGUGGCUGGGGGUGAAAGGCCAAUCAAACCGGGAGAUAGCUGGUUCUCCCCGAAAGCUAUUUAGGUAGCGCCUCGUGAAUUCAUCUCCGGGGGUAGAGCACUGUUUCGGCUAGGGGGCCAUCCCGGCUUACCAACCCGAUGCAAACUGCGAAUACCGGAGAAUGUUAUCACGGGAGACACACGGCGGGUGCUAACGUCCGUCGUGAAGAGGGAAACAACCCAGACCGCCAGCUAAGGUCCCAAAGUCAUGGUUAAGUGGGAAACGAUGUGGGAAGGCCCAGACAGCCAGGAUGUUGGCUUAGAAGCAGCCAUCAUUUAAAGAAAGCGUAAUAGCUCACUGGUCGAGUCGGCCUGCGCGGAAGAUGUAACGGGGCUAAACCAUGCACCGAAGCUGCGGCAGCGACACUGUGUGUUGUUGGGUAGGGGAGCGUUCUGUAAGCCUGUGAAGGUGUGUCGUGAGGCAUGCUGGAGGUAUCAGAAGUGCGAAUGCUGACAUAAGUAACGAUAAAGCGGGUGAAAAGCCCGCUCGCCGGAAGACCAAGGGUUCCUGUCCAACGUUAAUCGGGGCAGGGUGAGUCGACCCCUAAGGCGAGGCCGAAAGGCGUAGUCGAUGGGAAACGGGUUAAUAUUCCCGUACUUGGUGUUACUGCGAAGGGGGGACGGAGAAGGCUAUGUUGGCCGGGCGACGGUUGUCCCGGUUUAAGCGUGUAGGUGUGUGUUCCAGGUAAAUCCGGUUCACUUUAACACUGAGGCGUGACGACGAGGCACUACGGUGCUGAAGCAACAAAUGCCCUGCUUCCAGGAAAAGCCUCUAAGCAUCAGGUAACAUCAAAUCGUACCCCAAACCGACACAGGUGGUCAGGUAGAGAAUACCAAGGCGCUUGAGAGAACUCGGGUGAAGGAACUAGGCAAAAUGGUGCCGUAACUUCGGGAGAAGGCACGCUGACACGUAGGUGAAGUGAUUUACUCAUGGAGCUGAAGUCAGUCGAAGAUACCAGCUGGCUGCAACUGUUUAUUAAAAACACAGCACUGUGCAAACACGAAAGUGGACGUAUACGGUGUGACGCCUGCCCGGUGCCGGAAGGUUAAUUGAUGGGGUCAGCGCAAGCGAAGCUCCUGAUCGAAGCCCCGGUAAACGGCGGCCGUAACUAUAACGGUCCUAAGGUAGCGAAAUUCCUUGUCGGGUAAGUUCCGACCUGCACGAAUGGCGUAAUGAUGGCCAGGCUGUCUCCACCCGAGACUCAGUGAAAUUGAACUCGCUGUGAAGAUGCAGUGUACCCGCGGCAAGACGGAAAGACCCCGUGAACCUUUACUAUAGCUUGACACUGAACAUUGAGCCUUGAUGUGUAG
rnacentral:rRNA from 1 species